rnacentral:piRNA from 1 species
GAGAGUAACUUGAGAUCGGUUCAA